rnacentral:rRNA from 1 species
GGGGAACCUAUCCAUCAGCGGGGGAUAACACUUGGAAACAGGUGCUAAUACCGCAUAGGGCUUUUUUUCACCUGAAAAGAAGCUGAAAGGCGCUUUGUGCGUCACUGAUGGCUGGUCCCGCGGUGCAUUAGCCAGUUGGUGAGGUAACGGCUCACCAAAGCAACGAUGCAUAGCCGACCUGAGAGGGUGAUCGGCCACACUGGGACUGAGACACGGCCCAGACUCCUACGGGAGGCAGCAGUAGGGAAUCUUCCGCAAUGGACGAAAGUCUGACGGAGCAACGCCGCGUGAGCGAAGAAGGUCUUCGGAUCGUAAAGCUCUGUUGUUAGGGAAGAACAAGUAUCGGAGGAAAUGCCGGUACUUUGACGGUACCUGACGAGAAAGCCACGGCUAACUACGUGC